rnacentral:rRNA from 1 species
UCGAGACGGGCCAGAAAUGGUCACUCUUUGGACACUCGUAAACAGGUGGUGCAUGGNUUGUCGUCAGCUCGUGUCGUGAGAUGUUGGGUUAAGUCCCGCAACGAGCGCAACCCUCGUUCUAUGUUGCCAGCACGUAAUGGUGGGAACUCAUGGGAUACUGCCGGGGUCAACUCGGAGGAAGGUGGGGAUGACGUCAAAUCAUCAUGCCCCUUAUGUCUUGGGCUUCACGCAUGCUACAAUGGCCGGUACAAAGGGCUGCAAUACCGCGAGGUGGAGCGAAUCCCAAAAAGCCGGUCCCAGUUCGGAUUGAGGUCUGCAACUCGACCUCAUGAAGUCGGAGUCGCUAGUAAUCGCAGAUCAGCAACGCUGCGGUGAAUACGUUCCCGGGCCUUGUACACACCGA